GCCCGCAUGGAUCAGCUGGUAGAUCGCCUUCUGUUAUUAUGCCGCAAAAGUAUUUGUAUUUGAAGGAGACGGAGGUUCGAACCCUCCUGUGGGCA